rnacentral:rRNA from 1 species
AUUCCAGCUCCGCAGGUGUAUAUCUAUGCUGCUGCGGUUAAAAAGCUCGUAGUUGGAUCUGCGUGCUCGGAACUGGUUGGCUCACUGAGCUCAAACUGGUCUCCGGCGCUUUAUUGGCUGGUUUUCCCUUGAUGCUCUUAACCGGGUGUCUUGGGUGGCUAGCACGUUUACUUUGAAAAAAUUAGAGUGCUCAAUACAGGCGCAAAGCCUUGAAUAGUGGUGCAUGGAAUAAUAGAAUAGGACCUCGGCUCUAUUUUGUUGGUUUUCGGAACGCGAGGUAAUGAUUAAGAGGGACAGACGGGGGCAUUCGUAUUGCGACGUUAGAGGUGAAAUUCUUGGAUCGUCGCAAGACGGACGACUGCGAAAGCAUUUGCCAAGAAUGUUUUCAUUAAUCAAGAACGAAAGUUAGAGGUUCGAAGGCGAUCAGAUACCGCCCUAGUUCUAACCGUAAACGAUGCCAACUAGCGAUUCGCAGGCGUUAAACAACGACCUUGCGGGCAGCUUCCCGGAAACGAAAGUGUUCGGGUUCCGGGGGAAGUAUGGUUGCAAAGCUGAAACUUAAAGGAAUUGACGGAAGGGCACCACCAGGAGUGGAGCCUGCGGCUUAAUUUGACACAACACGGGAAAACUCACCCGGCCCGGACACCGUAAGGAUUGACAGAUUGAGAGCUCUUUCUUGAUUCGGUGGGUGGUGGUGCAUGGCCGUUCUUAGUUGGUGGAGCGAUUUGUCUGGUUUAUUCCGAUAACGAACGAGACUCUGGCCUACUAAAUAGUGGGCGGAUUCUUUCUGUCCGCAACACUUCUUAGAGGGACAAGCGGUGUUCAGCCGCACGAGAUUGAGCAAUAACAGGUCUGUGAUGCCCUUAGAUGUCCGGGGCUGCACGCGCGCUACACUGAAGGAAUCAGCGUGCUUUCUGACCUUGCCCGAAAGGGCUGGGUAACCCGAUGAAAAUCCUUCGUGAUUGGGAUAGGGACUUGCAAUUAUUUCCCUUAAACGAGGAAUUCCCAGUAAGUGUGGGUCAUAAGCUCGCGUUGAUUACGUCCCUGCCCUUUGUACACACCGCCCGUCACUGCCCGGGACUGAGCCGUUUCGAGAAGAACAGGGACCGUCGUUGAAGGGCCCUAACGGGCUUUUCUCUGAUAGAAACUGUUUU